CUGAACAAGCAAAAUAAAUAAAUAAAACAUAAAAUAAUCCUUACUGCUACAUUUUGUUAACAUUUACUCAUUAUUCAGAAUGAAAUCUUCUUCUGCUUUCUAAUCAUCAAACGCAGCUUGCAGAAGCAAAAAUAAUGCUGCAUGAGUUCAAUACAAAUUUUAAAUAAAUAAACAUUAUUUUUUAAUGUGGUAAAAAAGAAGCCCACUGGGUAAAACAUAGAAAUAUAUUCAAGCUGAAACCAACAGAGUGAUGAGGUUAUUGUUUAGAGAAAUACAUGGCUAAAAAAAGAAAGGGAACACCUAAACACUUCAAUGUUACUCCAAGUCAAUCACACUUCUGUGUAAUCAAACUGUCCAAUCAGGAAGCAACACUAAAUGACAAUCAGUUUCACCUGUUUUUGUGCAAAUGGAAUAGACAACAGGUGGAAAUAAUAGUCAAUCAGCGAGACGUCUCCAUUAAAGGAUUGCUUCUACAAGUGGCGACCACAGAAAGCUUCUCUGUUCUUAUGUUUUCUGGCUGAUGUUUUGGUGACUUUUGAAUGCCGACUCAUCAAAUUGAGCAGAUUUGGAACAUCAUGUCUCGGUCCAUCAACCAACGCCAGGUCACCCCGCAGACUGUCCAGGAGUUGGUGGAUGCUUUGGUUCAGGAGCUUCUUCUUGAGGAUACUCCAGAACAACAGACUGAGUGAACAUAUCAAGUUGAUAACUGAAUUCACGUCACAUUUGGACUGUAAGAAAUAAAACACAUGUUUUAAGUAAAACAAACCUAGUUAUUUAAAAAUAUUUUUCAAACGGAAAAGUUACACAGUAUUUGUUUUAUGUUUCAUUUUAGAGACCAAGAUGUUUUCAAUUCUUCAUAAGCUGCAUAAAUAUCUAAUUAUCCAA